GAUGAACGCUGGCGGCGUGCCUAAUACAUGCAAGUCGAGCGAACGGACGAGAAGCUUGCUUUUCUGAUGUUAGCGGCGGACGGGUGAGUAACACGUGGAUAACCUACCUAUAAGACUGGGAUAACUUCGGGAAACCGGAGCUAAUACCGGAUAAUAUUUUGAACCGCAUGGUUCAAAAGUGAAAGACGGUCUUGCUGUCACUUAUAGAUGGAUCCGCGCUGCAUUAGCUAGUUGGUAAGGUAACGGCUUACCAAGGCAACGAUGCAUGGCCGACCUGAGAGGGUGAUCGGCCACACUGGAACUGAGACACGGUCCAGACUCCUACGGGAGGCAGCAGUAGGGAAUCUUCCGCAAUGGGCGAAAGCCUGACGGAGCAACGCCGCGUGAGUGAUGAAGGUCUUCGGAUCGUAAAACUCUGUUAUUAGGGAAGAACAUAUGUGUAAGUAACUGUGCACAUCUUGACGGUACCUAAUCAGAAAGCCACGGCUAACUACGUGCCAGCAGCCGCGGUAAUACGUAGGUGGCAAGCGUUAUCCGGAAUUAUUGGGCGUAAAGCGCGCGUAGGCGGUUUUUUAAGUCUGAUGUGAAAGCCCACGGCUCAACCGUGGAGGGUCAUUGGAAACUGGAAAACUUGAGUGCAGAAGAGGAAAGUGGAAUUCCAUGUGUAGCGGUGAAAUGCGCAGAGAUGUGGAGGAACACCAGUGGCGAAGGCGACUUUCUGGUCUGUAACUGACGCUGAUGUGCGAAAGCGUGGGGAUCAAACAGGAUUAGAUACCCUGGUAGUCCACGCCGUAAACGAUGAGUGCUAAGUGUUAGGGGGUUUCCGCCCCUUAGUGCUGCAGCUAACGCAUUAAGCACUCCGCCUGGGGAGUACGACCGCAAGGUUGAAACUCAAAGGAAUUGACGGGGGCCCGCACAAGCGGUGGAGCAUGUGGUUUAAUUCGAAGCAACGCGAAGAACCUUACCAAAUCUUGACAUCCUUUGACAACUCUAGAGAUAGAGCCUUCCCCUUCGGGGGACAAAGUGACAGGUGGUGCAUGGUUGUCGUCAGCUCGUGUCGUGAGAUGUUGGGUUAAGUCCCGCAACGAGCGCAACCCUUAAGCUUAGUUGCCAUCAUUAAGUUGGGCACUCUAAGUUGACUGCCGGUGACAAACCGGAGGAAGGUGGGGAUGACGUCAAAUCAUCAUGCCCCUUAUGAUUUGGGCUACACACGUGCUACAAUGGACAAUACAAAGGGCAGCGAAACCGCGAGGUCAAGCAAAUCCCAUAAAGUUGUUCUCAGUUCGGAUUGUAGUCUGCAACUCGACUACAUGAAGCUGGAAUCGCUAGUAAUCGUAGAUCAGCAUGCUACGGUGAAUACGUUCCCGGGUCU
rnacentral:rRNA from 1 species